AGGACGAACGCUUGCGACGUGCCUAAGAAAUGCAAGUCGAACGGGGUAGCAAUACCUAGUGGCGAACGGUCGCGUAACACGUGGGCAACCUGCCCUGAAGUGGGGGACAACAGCUCGAAAGGGCUGCUAAUACCGCAUGUGAAGGGGGAUGGCAUCAUCCCUUGUUCAAAGCCUUGUGCGCUUCAGGAUGGGCCCGCGGCCUAUCAGCUAGUUGGUGGGGUAACGGCCUACCAAGGCUUCGACGGGUAGCUGGUCUGAGAGGACGAUCAGCCGGAUUGGGACUGAGAUACGGCCCAGACUCCUACGGGGGGCAGCAAUUAGGAAUCUUGCACAAUGGGGGAAACCCUGAUGCAGCGACGUCGCGUGGAGGAUGAAAUCUUUCGGGAUGUAAACUCCUUUCUCAGGAAGAAAAAUGACGGUACCUGAGGAAUAAGCCCGGCUAACUACGUGCCAGCAGCCGC
rnacentral:rRNA from 1 species